GCUGGGAAAGAAGGGGCUGGCAGCCGUGUGCCUGCCAGAGUUUGUCUCCAGGAAAAAGAUUCUGCACAGAGUUUGCCGACGAGUCAGACGGACCACCUUGAAGGAGAGACUGGAGCCAAGACAAGGAUGACGGAAGGAAGUUCCGUCUGUCCGCCCCACCUCCAGAAAGAAAACUGAGGAUGUUUUUAUAAGUUCCUGAACAUCUGUCCCAGAAACAGGGGAUCUGCGCCUUGAUUGUAGUAGGGACCUGGCGCGAGCCUUCUCUGGCUGCCAAGGGAAGCAGCUGGCUUUCUUCCUGUGCCUAAGGCUGG
rnacentral:lncRNA from 1 species